rnacentral:tRNA from 1 species
UGAUUCCGUAGCUCAGCUGGGAGAGCGCCACCUUGACAGGGUGGAGGUCGCUGGUUCGAGCCCAGUCGGAAUCAUCC